rnacentral:misc_RNA from 1 species
UUAUUCAACGGAAUAAAGAAAUUGAGCAAUUGGAACGGUACUCGUUUGUUUAUGCUACUGUUGCAUGAGCAAAAGUGCCUUGUGCGUCUGCCUACAGUGGCUUCAAAUGACAGUAAAGUCGAGCCACAGAGUCCGCAGUUGCGAUACCGAAUCGACCAGCGACGCCCUUUGUGUGGGCCACUACUCCCUGCCUCUGCCCCCCCAGAAGAGAAAUUUCAUUGAAAAACAAUUGAAAAAGGAAGAAGAACAGACCCUGGACUGGGGGUUUGGGUGGAACACCGGCGUCUUCAGGAUUCUGGCGUCUGGUUCGUGUGCCGUGGGGAAUGGGGCCUGCUCCACCUCUACCUGUACCGGCCCCGCGACCCCCUGCGUGUUGCCUGCCGCCUUCCUGCUGUUCUCGCGCCACGAGCACAUUGGCUUCAUCUUGACCGAGUACAAGGUCAACGACGGGGGCUGCUCCCACCUGUACCUGGCCUAACCCGGCAGACGGGGCAUGACUUGUGCCCCACCCACUACCAGUUGGCCGAGGACGGGGUCUCCUGCAAGAACUACAUCAUCUUCAGCCAGAGGAACAGCUUCGGCCGACUGCUACCGAACACGACACACGAACCCGAAUAUCCGCGCCGUGGACUAUGAUCUGUUGCUAUGGACCUGCUCCUACUCCAACAGCAUUAACAUGACCAUUCGCACAAUUGUGUUCCUAAAACGUUGCCUCUUUUAGCUUCCUGGCUGAAUUCGUAGGCGUCAACGAUACCGGGGACUCGGAAAAACCUCGCACCAUUGCCACCUUAGGGAGAUUUUGUACUGGCUGGAGGACAAGACCGGAGUGGAACGGAUCACUGUCAACGACGUUAUUCCGUGGAGCUGCAUCGUCUGUCGCAGUUCACCGACAUCCGGGCCGUGUGGACACCGGAUGCGCAAGUGCUGCACAAUCACACGGCACAGUUGCCCAAAUUGUUUCCAAAACUGCAUAGCCAGAGGGGUGUGACACGCGGCACGCGCGACGUCUGCUCGUGCCCCAUGCAUCUGAUGCUACUAGAGGACCAGGAGAACUACGGCGUUUGUCCGGACUGUGGGCCAGAUCAUAUCACGUGCACGGCCCCAGUGACGGGGAAUGGUGACAUGAAUAAGUACAAGUCUGACUGCCCGGACAAGUCGGAUGAAGUGGGAUGUCCCAUAUGACUGUCAGUUCAGCUGCCAGUCCGGCGGGUGCUUCGACAAGGCUCUGAUCUGCGAUGGUACCACCUGUGACAACUGUGAGAAUGUCCACGAUGAGGCCGACUGCUGCAAGCUGCCAGGAGACUUUCAGUGUGCCAUGGUACAGACGAUUUGCCUGCCUCGGAUAUUCUUGCGCACCGAGCAGGAUGAAGAAGGAGCGGAAAGACUCGGUCAAAUAAAACAAAAGCAAGGACUUAAAACUAGCCAAUGAACCACCCAUGCGGCCGGCAAGCCAAACCAUGGUCAAAAGGGACAAAUCUGCCAAGGGAAACGGCUUUGACAUGGAUAGUUCUAAUUCAAUACCCUAUAAAUAUGUAUAUAAGCAAAUAGUCGACUUACGCCAUGAUGUCAGGUUUCAAAUGGGAAAAGAUACUAAAAAAAAGCCGAACAGUAAAAAAUCUUAUUUCAAAUUAAUCCAAGACGUUUACUGAAUAUCCCAUUAUUUCCUUUUCUCCACCACAAACGAACCAUGUCAAAAUAAAUAAUAAAUAAGUAAUAAAUAUAAUUGUUGUAAUCUUACCAAACCCCAGGCCGGCCUAUCCGAGGCCUGCUGCCUAUUGGCAUCUGCAAGAUGCUUACAGAAAAUCAGGGAACGGAACCAUUACAGCAACCAAGCUAAACCGGAAACACGAAUUCGAGCGAAAGGGCAAUACAUACAUCUCGAGCGAGAUGGAGAUAUAUACCGAUCAGGCACACACUCGCAACCGGAACAGAGAAAGAGAGCGGCAAAACAUAUUUUCGAGUGAGACGGAAACACAUGAGAAAAAAAAACAAUAAAUACAAAUUUGUAUGAAAAAUGUAAG